CGGUAAUACGGAGGAUCCAAGCGUUACUUAAGAUCAUUAACUCUAGAGGGCUUAUAGGCGGUCAGAUAAGUCAGUGGUGAAAAUUACUCGGCGUUUGGUGGAACGGCCAUUGAUACUGUCUGACGGAGGCUUAGGAAGUAACUGAGGUAUGUAGUGUAGCGGUAGGAUGCUUAGAGAUUACAUGGAAUACCAAUUGCGAAGGCAGGUUACUACUAAUGGAUUGACGCUGAUGGACGAAAGCGUGGGUAGCGAACAGGAUUAGCAUGAGACUUAGUCCACGCCGUAGGUAAUGGAUACUAGCUGUUGGGAGCAAUCUCAGUGGCUAAGCGAAAGUGAUAAGUAUCCCAGAGAAAGAGUACGUUCGCAAGAAUGAA
rnacentral:rRNA from 1 species